AACGAACGCUGGCGGCAGGCUUAACACAUGCAAGUCGAGCGAGAUCUUCGGGUCUAGCGGCGGACGGGUGAGUAACGCGUGGGAACGUGCCCUUUUCUGCGGAAUAGCCUCGGGAAACUGAGAGUAAUACCGCAUACGCCCUUUUGGGGAAAGAUUUAUCGGAGAAGGAUCGGCCCGCGUUGGAUUAGGUAGUUGGUGGGGUAAAGGCCUACCAAGCCGACGAUCCAUAGCUGGUUUGAGAGGAUGAUCAGCCACACUGGGACUGAGACACGGCCCAGACUCCUACGGGAGGCAGCAGUGGGGAAUCUUAGACAAUGGGGGCAACCCUGAUCUAGCCAUGCCGCGUGAGUGAUGAAGGCCUUAGGGUUGUAAAGCUCUUUCAGCUGGGAAGAUAAUGACGGUACCAGCAGAAGAAGCCCCGGCUAACUCCGUGCCAGCAGCCGCGGUAA
rnacentral:rRNA from 1 species